UUUGAUCCGGCUCAGAACGAACGUUGGCGGCGUGCUUAACACAUGCAAGUCGAACGAGAAAGUUCUCUUCGGAGAACGAGUAAAGUGGCGCACGGGUGAGUAACGCGAAGUAAUCNACCCNUGCAUUUGGGAUAACUACGGGAAGCUGUAGCUAAUACCGGAUACGUUCAUAGAGUUACGACUCUAUGAAGAAAGAUGACCUCUUCUUGAAAGUAUCGUGCAGGGAGGAGCUUGCGUACCAUUAGCUAGUUGGUAGGGUAAUGGCCUACCAAGGCGACGAUGGUUAGCGGGUCUGAGAGGAUGAUCCGCCACACUGGAACUGAAACACGGUCCAGACUCCUACGGGAGGCAGCAGUGAGGAAUAUUGCGCAACGGGGGAAACCCUGACGCAGCGACGCCGCGUGGAUGAUGAAGGCCUUCGGGUCGUAAAAUCCUGGCAGAUGGGNAGA
rnacentral:rRNA from 1 species